CAAAUUGAGAGUUUGAUCCUGGCUCAGGAUGAACGCUGGCGGCGUGCCUAAUACAUGCAAGUCGAACGCUUUGUGGUUCAACUGAUUUGAAGAGCUUGCUCAGAUAUGACGAUGGACAUUGCAAAGAGUGGCGAACGGGUGAGUAACACGUGGGAAACCUACCUCUUAGCAGGGGAUAACAUUUGGAAACAGAUGCUAAUACCGUAUAACAAUGACAACCGCAUGGUUGUUAUUUAAAAGAUGGUUCUGCUAUCACUAAGAGAUGGUCCCGCGGUGCAUUAGCUAGUUGGUAAGGUAAUGGCUUACCAAGGCGAUGAUGCAUAGCCGAGUUGAGAGACUGAUCGGCCACAAUGGGACUGAGACACGGCCCAUACUCCUACGGGAGGCAGCAGUAGGGAAUCUUCCACAAUGGGCGAAAGCCUGAUGGAGCAACGCCGCGUGUGUGAUGAAGGGUUUCGGCUCGUAAAACACUGUUGUAAGAGAAGAAUGACAUUGAGAGUAACUGUUCAAUGUGUGACGGUAUCUUACCAGAAAGGAACGGCUAAAUACGUGCCAGCAGCCGCGGUAAUACGUAUGUUCCAAGCGUUAUCCGGAUUUAUUGGGCGUAAAGCGAGCGCAGACGGUUAUUUAAGUCUGAAGUGAAAGCCCUCAGCUCAACUGAGGAAUUGCUUUGGAAACUGGAUGACUUGAGUGCAGUAGAGGAAAGUGGAACUCCAUGUGUAGCGGUGAAAUGCGUAGAUAUAUGGAAGAACACCAGUGGCGAAGGCGGCUUUCUGGACUGUAACUGACGUUGAGGCUCGAAAGUGUGGGUAGCAAACAGGAUUAGAUACCCUGGUAGUCCACACCGUAAACGAUGAGUGCUAGGUGUUUGAGGGUUUCCGCCCUUAAGUGCCGCAGCUAACGCAUUAAGCACUCCGCCUGGGGAGUACGACCGCAAGGUUGAAACUCAAAGGAAUUGACGGGGACCCGCACAAGCGGUGGAGCAUGUGGUUUAAUUCGAAGCAACGCGAAGAACCUUACCAGGUCUUGACAUCCCUUGACAACUCCAGAGAUGGAGUGUUCCCUUCGGGGACAAGGUGACAGGUGGUGCAUGGUUGUCGUCAGCUCGUGUCGUGAGAUGUUGGGUUAAGUCCCGCAACGAGCGCAACCCUUAUUACUAGUUGCCAGCAUUCAGUUGGGCACUCUAGUGAGACUGCCGGUGACAAACCGGAGGAAGGUGGGGAUGACGUCAAAUCAUCAUGCCCCUUAUGACCUGGGCUACACACGUGCUACAAUGGCGUAUACAACAAGUUGCCAACCCGCGAGGGUGAGCUAAUCUCUUAAAGUACGUCUCAGUUCGGAUUGUAGGCUGCAACUCGCCUACAUGAAGUCGGAAUCGCUAGUAAUCGCGGAUCAGCACGCCGCGGUGAAUACGUUCCCGGGUCUUGUACACACCGCCCGUCACACCAUGAGAGUUUGUAACACCCAAAGCCGGUGGGGUAACCUUCGGGAGCCAGCCGUCUAAGGUGGGACAGAUGAUUAGGGUGAAGUCGUAACAAGGUAGCCGUAGGAGAACCUGCGGCUGGAUCACCUCCUUU
rnacentral:rRNA from 1 species